AAGUCGAACGAAGUAGCAAUACUUAGUGGCAGACGGGUGAGUAACAUGUAGGUAUCUACCCUUUGGCCUGGAAUAACACGAGGAAACUUGUGCUAAUACCGGAUAAGUCUUUACGGAGAAAGCUUUAUGCACCAUUGGAUGAGCCUGCACUUGAUUAGUUUGUUGGUGGGGUAAUGGCCUACCAAGACUGUGAUCAAUAGCUGAUUUGAGAGGAUGAUCAGCCACAUUGGGACUGAGACACGGCCCAAACUCCUACGGGAGGCAGCAGUGGGGAAUCUUGCACAAUGGAGGAAACUCUGAUGCAGCGAUGCCGCGUGAGUGAAGAAGGCCUUUGGGUUGUAAAGCUCUUUCGUCGGGGAAGAAAAUGACUGUACCCGAAUAAGAAGGUCCGGCUAACUUCGUGCCAGCAGCCGCGGUAAUACGAAGGGACCUAGCGUAGUUCGGAAUUACUGGGCUUAAAGAGUUCGUAGGUGGUUGAAAAAGUUAGUGGUGAAAUCCCAGAGCUUAACUCUGGAACUGCCAUUAAAACUUUUCA
rnacentral:rRNA from 1 species